AUGGACGAAGAUGAACGACAGAGGAAAAUAGAAGCCGGACGAGCAAAGUUUGCUAGCCACCGACAAAAAAGGGCGAAAAGCAACGGUCAAGUCGCGCAGAAAACGACGCAGAAGAGGAAGGGCCCGUCUCCAGCGCCGCAUGUCAGCCCAGCGCAAGGUUGCCCACUAGAGGCGCUCCCCCGGGCAGACGGUGACUCCGCGGAGCCGGAGCACAGGAGUAACCAUGAGGAACCACAAAGCGUUGUGGAGACACACCAGAGCCUCAUUUCAGAGGUACUGUGUAGCCCGGAACACUUGGAGCCAUCUCAUGCCCGUGAUGGAAACCAUAUCCUGGGGGGGCAGGCUGUUGGAGAGCCGCCUGAGGGCAUGGAGGUAGUGGGAGAGGAGGAUUUACUGGUUCUCACUGGAAAAGAACCACUCAAGGUACACACUUUUUAAAAUAAAUAAAACUAAAGUAUUGACAUAAUAGAUGUGCAAGGAGUGUUUUUCCUGUUGCACAGAAUGGUUGGGAGAGAGAAACUCAUAAAUGUAUUAUGCUGGAGCAUAAUGAGAACAUGCAUUAUAGCUUGAUAAUCUCAACCACCCUCCUAACAGGGUUGGAUGUUUGCUCAAAUGGAUUAAUUUGUUCUCAUGAUUUAUU
rnacentral:lncRNA from 1 species